rnacentral:rRNA from 1 species
GGAUAUUGCGCAAUGGGCGAAAGCCAGACGCAGCAACGCCGCGUGCCCGAUGAAGGCCUUCGGGUCGUAAAGGGCUUUUCUGGCUGAAGAGACAAGGACGGUAAGCCAGGAAAAAGUGUCGGCUAACUACGUGCCAGCCGCCGCGGUAAAACGUAGGACGCGAGCGUUAUCCGGAGUUACUGGGCGUAAAGGGUGGGCAGGCGGCCGUGUCAGAUGGGUGUGAAAUCUCCCGGCUCAACCGGGAGGGGCCACUCGUGACUGCACGGCUGGAGGGCAGCAGAGGCGCGUGGAAUUCCGGGUGGAGUGGUGAAAUGCGUAGAGAUCCGGAGGAACACCAGAGGCGAAGGCGGCGCGCUGGGCUGCACCUGACGCUGAACCACGAAAGCCAGGGUAGCGAACGGG